UUCCGGUUGAUCCUGCCGGACCUGACUGCUAUCGGAUUGAUACUAAGCCAUGCGAGUCUUUGCAGUAAUGCAAGGCAUACGGCUCAGUAACACGUAGUCAACUUACCCUAUGGACGAGGAUAAUCUCGGGAAACUGAGCAUAAUUCUUGAUAGAUCAUAAUGCCUGGAAUGGUAUAUGGUUAAAAUGAUUCGUCGCCAUAGGAUGGGACUGCGGCCUAUCAGCUUGUUGGUGAGGUAAUGGCCCACCAAGGCGAUUACAGGUACGGGCUCUGAGAGGAGAAGCCCGGAGAUGGGUACUGAGACAAGGACCCAGGCCCUAUGGGGCGCAGCAGGCGAGAAAACUUUGCAAUGUGCGAAAGCACGACAAGGUUAGUCCGAGUGAUUUCUGCUAAAGAGAUCUUUUGCUAGUCAUAAAACCACUAGUGAAUAAGGGGUGGGCAAGUUCUGGUGUCAGCCGCCGCGGUAAAACCAGCACCUCAAGUGGUCAGGAUGAUUAUUGGGCCUAAAGCAUCCGUAGCCGGCUCUGUAAGUUUUCGGUUAAAUCUAUGCGCUCAACGUAUGGGCUGCCGAAAAUACUGCAGAGAUAGGGAGUGGGAGAGGUAGACGGUACUCGGUAGGAAGGGGUAAAAUCCUUUGAUCUAUCGAUGACCACCUGUGGCGAAGGCGGUCUACCAGAACACGUUCGACGGUGAGGGAUGAAAGCUGGGGGAGCAAACCGGAUUAGAUACCCGGGUAGUCCCAGCUGUAAACGAUGCAGACUCGAUGAUGCAUUGGCAUAUAGCCAGUGCAGUGUCGCAGGGAAGCCGUUAAGUCUGCCGCCUGGGAAGUACGUACGCAAGUAUGAAACUUAAAGGAAUUGGCGGGGGAGCACCACAAGGGGUGAAGCCUGCGGUUCAAUUGGAUUCAACGCCGGG
rnacentral:rRNA from 1 species